rnacentral:misc_RNA from 1 species
GCUUCUCAUAGAAAUUAAGUAACUUGCUUUUGCUUUUGAUCAUGAAUGGAAGAGUCUUUAAUUUCCAAUUGUUAAAACAAUCCUACAUAGAAAGAAGGUGUCAGACAAUAAACAGUUAAAUAUAAAAUUGCAGUUGAACUACUUGGUGAGUAAAGAACUAGAUAAAAAGAGGCAAAUCGACUUAUGCUCACAUCUUAAAAUUUUUAAAUUUUCUUUCCUUUUGUAUCUGUCUGCGAAUUAUUUCCUUACAUAGUUAGAUAUAUUUAUGAAGUGCUGUGAAGGAAAAAAAAUUUGUAAAUGAACUUAUGCUCACAACUCGCUUUUCCAGGUUGCAACACAGCCUGUGUUUAUUCUUCUCAAGUGGCAGA